rnacentral:rRNA from 1 species
CAGUAGCCGCGGGAAUACGAAGGGGGCUAGCGUUGUUCGGAUUUACUGGGCGUAAAGCGCACGUAGGCGGAUCCUUAAGUCAGAGGUGAAAUCCCAAGGCUCAACCUUGGAACUGCCUUUGAUACUGGGGAUCUCGAGUUCGGGAGAGGUGAGUGGAACUGCGAGUGUAGAGGUGAAAUUCGUAGAUAUUCGCAAGAACACCAGUGGCGAAGGCGGCUCACUGGCCCGAUACUGACGCUGAGGUGCGAAAGCGUGGGGAGCAAACAGGAUUAGAUACCCGGGUAGUCCCUGUCUCUUAUAC